AUUGAACGCUGGCGGCAGGCCUAACACAUGCAAGUCGAACGAGUGGCGGACGGGUGAGUAAUGUCUGGGAAACUGCCUGAUGGAGGGGGAUAACUACUGGAACCGGUAGCUAAUACCGCAUACCAUCGGAUGUGCCCAGAUGGGAAUUGCUAGUGGGUGGGGUAAAGGCUAACCUAGGCGACGAUCCCUAGCUGGUCUGAGAGGCUGACCGUCUACCCCUGAACUGAGAAACGGUCCAGACUCCUACGGGAGGCAGCAGUGGUGAAAAUUGCACUAUGGGCGCAAGCCUGAUGCAGCCAUGCCGCGUGUAUGAAGAAGGCCUUCGGGUUGUAAAGUACUUUCAGCGGGGAGGCGUUACCCGCAGAAGAAGCACCGGCUAACUCCGUGCCAGCAGCCGCGGUAAUAC
rnacentral:rRNA from 1 species